AUUGAACGCUGGCGGCAGGCCUAACACAUGCAAGUCGAGCGAGUGGCGGACGGGUGAGUAAUGUCUGGGCAACUGCCUGCUGGAGGGGGAUAACUACUGGACACGGUAGCUAAUACCGCAUACCAUCAGAUGUGCCCAGAUGGGAUUAGCUAGUUGGUGGGGUAAUGGCUCACCUAGGCGACGAUCCCUAGCUGGUCUGAGAGGAUCACCAGCCACACUGGAACUGAGACACGGUCCAGACUCCUACGGGAGGCAGCAGUGGGGAAUAUUGCACAAUGGGCGCAAGCCGGAUACAGCCAUGCCGCGUGUAUGAAGAAGGCCUUCGGGUUGUAAAGCACUUUCAGCGAGGAGGCGUUACUCGCAGAAGAAGCACCGGCUAACUCCGUGCCAGCAGCCGCGGUAAUUC
rnacentral:rRNA from 1 species